rnacentral:rRNA from 1 species
AUAAGGAAUCGUACCUGCCCAGUGAAUAAUUUAAAUGGCCGCGGUACAUUGACCGUGCGAAGGUAGCAUAAUCAUUUGCCUUAUAAUUGAAGGCUGGAAUGAAUGGUUUGACAAGAGCUUAGCUGUUUCUAAUAAAUUUUAUAGAAUUUUUUGUGUAUGUGAAGAAUCAUACAUUAAAUUAAUAGACAAGAAGACCCUAUUGAGCUUUAAUUGUAAUAAAUGUUUAGUAGUUAAAGUAUUUAUGUUAAUUUUUGUUGGGGCGACUAAGGAACAAAUGAAGCUUCCUUUAUUAAUUUGGACGUUUGUGUUUUGAUCCUUUAUGAUUGAUUGAAAGAAAAAGUUACCAUAGGGAUAACAGCAUUAUUUUAUUUGGGAUAGUAUUGAAAAUAAAGUUUGUGACCUCGAUGUUGGAUCAAAAUAUCCUAAAGGAUAGAAUCUUUUAAGGGUUAGUCUGUUCGACUAUAAAAAUUUUA